rnacentral:ncRNA from 2 species
CGACCCGCAGCGGGAGAGUCCUGCCGUUGACCUACAGCCGGCAGGCGCCGUAGGAGCAAACCCUCCCCAGGAAUCUCUCAGGCCCAGCACCGCAGCGGAAAG